CAGCCGCCGCGGUAAUACGAAGGGGGCUAGCGUUGCUCGGAAUGACUGGGCGUAAAGGGCGCGUAGGCGGAAUGCUUUGUCGGGCGUGAAAUCCCCCGGCUCAACCGGGGAAGUGGAGCCGAAACGACCCGUCUGGAGGGACGUAGGGGGACCUGGAACUUCCGGUGGAGCGGUGAAAUGCGUUGAGAUCGGAAGGAACGCCCGUGGCGAAAGCGAGGUCCUGGACGUCUGCUGACGCUGAGACGCGAAAGCCAGGGGAGCGAACGGGAUUAGAUACCCGAGUAGUCCCUGUCUCUUAUAC
rnacentral:rRNA from 1 species